rnacentral:rRNA from 1 species
CGGACGGGUGAGUAACACGUGGAUAACCUACCUAUAAGACUGGGAUAACUUCAGGAAACCGGAGCUAAUACCGGAUAAUAUAUUGAACCGCAUGGUUCAAUAGUGAAAGACGGUUUUGCUGUCACUUAUAGAUGGAUCCGCGCCGCAUUAGCUAGUUGGUAAGGUAACGGCUUACCAAGGCAACGAUGCGUAGCCGACCUGAGAGGGUGAUCGGCCACACUGGAACUGAGACACGGUCCAG